rnacentral:rRNA from 1 species
UGGGGAAUAUUGCACAAUGGGCGCAAGCCUGAUGCAGCCAUGCCGCGUGUGUGAAGAAGGCCUUCGGGUUGUAAAGCACUUUCAGCGGGGAGGAAGGCGAUAAGGUUAAUAACCUUGUCGAUUGACGUUACCCGCAGAAUAAGCACCGGCUAACUCCGUGCCAGCAGCCGCGGUAAUACGGAGGGUGCAAGCGUUAAUCGGAAUUACUGGGCGUAAUGCGCACGCAGGCGGUCUGUCAAGUCGGAUGUGAAAUCCCCGGGCUCAACCUGGGAACUGCAAUCGAAACUGGCAGGAUAGAGUAUUGUAGAGAGGGGUAGAAUUCCAGGUGUAGCUGGGAAAUGCGUGGAGAUCUGUAGGAAUACCGGUGGCGAAGGCGGCCCCCUGGACAAAGACUGACGCUCAGGUGCGAAAGCGUGGGGAGCAAACAGG